rnacentral:rRNA from 1 species
UACGUAGGCAGCAAGCGUUGUUCGGAGUUACUGGGCGUAAAGGGUGUGUAGGCGGUUCUCUAAGUUUGGUGUGAAAUCUCCCGGCUCAACUGGGAGGGUGCGCCGAAAACUGGAGGGCUAGAGUACUGGAUGGGAGAGUGGAAUUCCUGGUGUAGCGGUGAAAUGCGUAGAUAUCAGGAGGAACACCUGUGGUGUAGACGGCUCUCUGGACAGUAACUGACGCUGAGACACGAAAGCGUGGAUAGCAAACAGG